rnacentral:rRNA from 1 species
AGAUUGAACGCUGGCGGCAGGCCUAACACAUGCAAGUCGAGCGGCAGCACGGGUACUUGUACCUGGUGGCGAGCGGCGGACGGGUGAGUAAUGCCUAGGAAUCUGCCUGAUAGUGGGGGAUAACGCUCGGAAACGGACGCUAAUACCGCAUACGUCCUACGGGAGAAAGCAGGGGACCUUCGGGCCUUGCGCUAUCAGAUGAGCCUAGGUCGGAUUAGCUAGUUGGUGGGUAAUGGCUCACCAAGGCGACGAUCCGUAACUGGUCUGAGAGGAUGAUCAGUCACACUGGAACUGAGACACGGUCCAGACUCCUACGGGAGGCAGCAGUGGGGAAUAUUGGACAAUGGGCGAAAGCCUGAUCCAGCCAUGCCGCGUGUGUGAAGAAGGUCUUCGGAUUGAAAGCUACUUUAAGUUGGAGAAGGCAGUUACCUAAUACGUAUUCUGUUUGACGUUACGACAAGAAUAAGCAACGGCUAACUCUAGUCG